rnacentral:misc_RNA from 1 species
AUCGACACUUUGAACGCAUAUUGCAGGCUUGUGCUCGUCACAGGCCUACCCUUGUGUCAGGGUCGGUUGAACAUCAUCCAUCAGGAGAUUUAUCUCCUGCAUUGUCCCUUUGGCUGGCCAGCUCCGGGUCAAGGGACGAAGGUGAGCCUGUCAGGUUUGACUUCACAACUCUAGGGAUUACUCCCGGGUUGGUAGGAAGCUGUCUGGCUCCUGGUGCGUGAGGAGUCACUGUCUUGCUCCUCUCUUUGCACCGAUUUUAUUAUUUUUUCGACCUGACAUCAAGGGAGGC